rnacentral:lncRNA from 10 species
CUCUACUUUUAACAACGAACUUGUGCUAAACAAACAAACAACAACAAAACCCACUUCAUUUUACCGAUUAAGCAACCGAGGCUUAGCAGUGAUGAAAACAACGGUCGAGGUCACCGAGUGGGGAAGAGGUUCAGAGCUUGGCUCCAAACCCAGAGCUUCUGACUCAGAUCAGACGGGUGGGAGCAGGAAACCAGUUGCGUGGGUCUCCUCCAGGCCUGCUGCCGCUGUGCACUCGAGGGCCUGCAGAUGAGGAGCGCUCCAGAGAGGAAGAACCUGGGACAAAUAAGACCAGAGCGGACGCAGAGGACAGGAAAUGCACACCACACUGACCCUCAUUGGAAGGAGGGUUCCAGAAGAAAGAAGGUGAUCUCAGCACCCAAAAUCCUGCUGCUUGGCAAAUUGAUAAGGCUGAAGAUGACUCCUACCAGAGCCUUUACUAAGCCAGGGUAUAAUAAAGAGAAAAAGAGAGAGCCUGAGAGGGUGGAGGUGGGAUCCAGGUCUUCUACCUCCUAGGAUUCUAUGUGGCUAUUUGUGGCAUCAGGAAACUCUGAGAGCACCACUUUUUAAUUCAUUUUUUUAAUUGACAAAAAAGUAUAUAUUGAUGGUGUACAACACGUUUUGAUAUAUGUAUUCAUUGUGGAAUAGCUAAAUAAAACUAUU